GAGCUCGCUGUGUGUUGUUUGGCCGAAGACAGCGAAGAAUAGAUACUCGAAGGCAAGAAUAGGACUCAUCUUUACUGGAAUUCGAGCUAAAAUCGAAGAUGCUUCAAGAUGCAGAGAUCCUUUUGAACACAGAGCCAGCCACACUUUCAUCGAAUCCCAAUCGAUUCUUUCGAUUUUAUGAUUACAAAACAUAGAAGGAUAAUCAUGGAGUCCUGCGAAAGUAUACAGAAAAAGAAGAAGAAGAAGAAGUAAACAAAAAAUAAAUGUUAUUAACAAAUCGUCCCUGUCCGAAUCGCAGCGAAAAUGCACGGAUGGAAAAAGAAACACAGUUCUCGUCGAUUUUGCAGAAUAUUUGCUGUUAUCAGGCAGCACAGUCUUUGCAGGCAGCACACACACAGACAUAUGGCGUACAUCGGUCAAGAUGCACAAUGCAGAAAACGGGACGACACUGACAUCGAGCGUGUCCUGCAUUCCAAAUUUUGUUUUUGCGCACGUGCCACUUUGUUGCAGUUUUUUUUUUAAUAUAUUUUUUUUUUCAUAUUAUCAUUGUUCUCAAUUUGCUGCUUUUGUCAUUCCUGUCGAUCUGU